rnacentral:RNase_P_RNA from 1 species
GUCUGCCAUCGGGCAACCGCUCUAUCUUCGGAUGGAGAGGAAAGUCCGAACUCCGAAGCUAUGAGCGAUCAUGAUCGCUCAUAGCGUGGGCAGCGUGCCGGUCGAGAUUCUUCGGAAUCAAGCCCGGGGAGCGGGUACAAAGCGCAAGCGACAAACCGCUCACAGCGUAGUGUCACAGAAAAGCAAACCGCUUGGUUGGCCGGCUUGCCGGCCUGCCGAGUAAGGGUGAAACGGCGGUGUAAGAGACCACCGCCCGGAGAGUAAUCUUCGGGGUCACGAUAAACCUCGCGCGGAGCAAGACCACGUAUGGGAUCCGUCAGCAAUGACGAUCGCGGCCCGCGAUAAUGCCGAGGCAUUAGCCAGAGCGUUGGAUUCCGGGUAGGUCGCACAGAGUAAUGGUUGCCUCUUCGUUGCAUGAGCAAUCGUGCGCGAAUAGACAGAAUUCGGCUUACAGAUGGCAGACCUUU